UCUCAACGGAUAAGCUCUCCAGUCUCCACUCUCCAGCACCCUCUCUUCUCCUCCUUUGAACAGGAAAACCGAUGGCGGCUUCCUGUAAUUUUUUCCAACUCCCCUUCGCCAGGAGCCCCGCCUUCCCCUUCCUCCUUUCAUCUCACCCUUACCUCCCAACCCCCUCCCGCCGCUCCUUCGCCCUAUGCUCCGCCUCGCUCCCUCUCCGGCCGCCGUCCGCGGCGGGGCCGCUCGACCCUGCCGUCGCCGCUGUGAACCCGGCCCUCCGGCACGCGAACGUGCUCUUCUUCAAGUCGGGCUACAACGUCCAGGUCUUGGUGGACGAUAACGAGUCCGAGGAGGCCCUCAUGCGGCGGUUCCGGCGGGAGGUGUCGAGGGCCGGGGUGAUCCAGGAGUGCAAGCGGCGGAGGUUCUUCGAGAACAAGCAGGAAGAGAAGAAGCGGAAGGCUCGUGAAGCGGGGCGAAGGAAUAGGAGGAGACGAUCAGGGCCAAGAUUCUUCUCAUCGCCAUCCUCAUCGUCGGCAGCAGCAGCAGCAGAUGGUGGUGCUGCUCCUAAAGACGACGUAGAUGACAACUGGGAUCUGCCAGAGGGUGACCUUCCUUACUGAAAGUUAUGAGUCGCCAAAAUACCUGCACUCCUGCAGGGGGUUUCGGAUGUUAUGAAACAUUACAAUCUUUGAUGGCAUGAUUACUGGUGUGGCAUGCCCGCGCUGCAAACCGAAUUGCAUUGGUUCAAGCAUGUACUCACAAUGUGGGCUUGGGGUAGCUGCUUAGUUGUUAAAGGUUUAAAGGUAGUACAUAUUUAUCGGAAGGCGAAUAGUACGGCAGACUGAGUCGUCUCUUUUAUGGCCCGGCAUUUGGGUGGAGUGAUUUGGACUAGGGUUGGCGAUAUACCUUACUCUCUGUAUCACCUUUUUUUUCUUUUGAUUUGGCAAGUUGUACUCAUGUCAAAACUAUAUGAAUGUCAUUUUUAACCAAAAAAAAAUGAAAAAAACAAACACCUUGCUGCA